ACGUGGACAAUCUACCCUGUGGAGGGGGAUAACCCCGGGAAACUGGGGAUAAUACCCCAUAGACUAUGGAAGCUGGAAUGCUCUGUAGCCGAAAGGUCCGCCGCCGCAGGAUGAGUCUGCGGCCGAUUAGGUUGUUGUUGGGGUAACGGCCCAACAAGCCUGUAAUCGGUACGGGUUGUGGGAGCAAGAGCCCGGAGAUGGAUUCUGAGACACGAAUCCAGGCCCUACGGGGCGCAGCAGGCGCGAAAACUUUGCAAUGCGGGAAACCGUGACAAGGGAACUCCGAGUGCCCGUAAAUUCGGGCUGUCCGCCAGUCCAAAAAACUGGUGAAGAAAGGGCCGGGCAAGACCGGUGCCAGCCGCCGCGGUAACACCGGCGGCUCGAGUGGUAACCGUUAUUAUUGGGUCUAAAGGGUCUGUAGCCGGCCGGAUAAGUCUCUUGGGAAAUCCGGCAGCUUAACUGUCGGGCUUUCAGGAGAUACUGUUCGGCUCGAGGCCGGGAGAGGUGAGAGGUACUUCAGGGGUAGGGGUGAAAUCUUGUAAUCCUUGAAGGACCACCAGUGGCGAAGGCGUCUCACCAGAACGGACCUGACGGCAAGGGACGAAAGCUAGGGGCACGAACCGGAUUAGAUACCCGGGUAGUCCUAGCCGUAAACGAUACUCGCUAGGUGUCGGCCACGGUGCGACCGUGGUCGGUGCCGUAGGGAAGCCGUGAAGCGAGCCACCUGGGAAGUACGGCCGCAAGGCUGAAACUUAA
rnacentral:rRNA from 1 species